rnacentral:rRNA from 1 species
UCGAGAAUCUUCGGCAAUGGGCGAAAGCCUGACCGAGCGAUGCCGCGUGCGGGAUGAAGGCCUUCGGGUUGUAAACCGCUGUCAGUUGGGAGGAAGGCUCUGUGAAGAGCAGAGCUUGACCUAUCUUCAGAGGAAGUCCGGGCUAAGUUCGUGCCAGCAGCCGCGGUAACACGAACCGGACGAACGUUAUUCGGAAUUAUUGGGCUUAAAGGGUGCGUAGGCGGUGCUGUCAGUCGGGUGUGAAAUCCCACGGCUUAACCGUGGAACUGCGCCCGAUACUGCAGUGCUAGAGGGAGACAGAGGUAAGCGGAACUGAUGGUGGAGCGGUGAAAUGCGUUGAUAUCAUCAGGAACACCAGUGGCGAAAGCGGCUUACUGGGUCUCUUCUGACGCUGAGGCACGAAAGCUAGGGUAGCGAACGGGAUUAGAUACCCCCGUAGUCC